ACCUGGGUGGCUCAGUUGGUUGAGCAUCUGACUUCAGCUCAGGUUAUGAUCUCAUGGUCUGUGAGUUCAAGCCCCGCAUCAGGCC
rnacentral:tRNA from 1 species